UUCGCCCACCUCGGCCUCCCAAAAUGCUGGGAUUACAGGAGUGAGCCCCCCUGCCCGGCCAUUUAGAUCAUUGUUAAUGAAUGCCCAUAAUAAGCUGUUUCCUUAUACAAGCAUUUGUCUUCCUUCUAAUAUUUACUUAUGUAACAAAAUUUACCUGUAAUUUUAAUUAAAAUGGUUCCACAUCUUGUUUCAGCUCUGAGUUUCAAACAUAAGGUAACACUAGCUUAAAAUAAGUCAUAUUAAAAAAUUCAUAACCUUAACUGUAUUUUUAAAGCUUAGCAUUUUCAAUUGCUUUCCACUUUGUAUAUCUUUUUUAAGAUUCUCUGGGUUAUAUGUGCUUUCUAAAACAGCGCACACAUAGCUGUCAAAACUAAACUAUGCAAAGGAAAGGUCAGACUUCGACAGAUAAUUCCUGUUGCCGUGGAAACAAAGUCGGUUUUGGAAAAAGCUGCAAGUUCCUCUAAAUAACCACAGAUUCAAAAACUUCAUGGUCUUCCUUUGACAGGUGUAGUGAUCUUCCUCAGGUUGAAUACUUUCUCCUUUUAAAUCCAGUAUUUGGGGUAUGCAAGCAAAAUCUAUAAGAUGAAAGGAAUUGAGAGAAAGCGUAUAAUCAAUUUAGGACCAUCUAUCAAACAUUUUAUCAUUGCACCGUAGUUCAAGGUAAUCAUACACAGGAGCAACAAUUUCUGUGAUUCUCUGCCAGGAUAUCACACACACAAUAUAAAUGGAGAGACGCAAACAGGAGACUUCUUCAGUAACUCCUUAGCAGGUAUAGAGAACCUCAUACCAGUAUCCUAAAGUGAAAUUGUUAAUUACUAGGGGAAAGGAUGACAGAAAGAAAGAGAAAAGAUAA